UACGUAGGGUGCAAGCGUUGUCCGGAAUUAUUGGGCGUAAAGAGCUCGUAGGCGGUCUGUCGCGUCUGCUGUGAAAACCUAGGGCUUAACUCUGGGCGUGCAGUGGGUACGGGCAGGCUAGAGUGCGGUAGGGGGAGACUGGAAUUCCUGGUGUAGCGGUGAAAUUCGUAGAUAUCGGGAGGAACACCAGUGGCGAAGGCGGCGACCUGGGCCAAUAUUGACGCUGAGGUGCGAAAGCGUGGGGAGCAAACAGG
rnacentral:rRNA from 1 species